AUGAGUGUGCACGUGUAAAUGUAUAUGCACAUCCACACGUGUAUACACACACACACACACACACACACACACACACACACACACACACAC
rnacentral:miRNA from 1 species